rnacentral:tRNA from 1 species
GGGGCACUCGUUUUAAUGGCUAAGACCCCGGUCUCCAAAACCGGUGAUUCCAGGUUCGAGUCCUGGGUGCCCCG